CGUGUGGUGCCGUGCGGAUCCUGUAUCUGGUGCGGAGAGCGACGCGGACUUCUAUCGAGGU
rnacentral:ncRNA from 1 species